UAAAAAAACAGAACCCAUCUUGCGGCAUCUAAUUUGUACUCCUACCUCAAUGGAAAACAAAUCCACGUCUCUCUCGAAACCAAUUGAGGCAUGGAUCGGUGUUCUCAAGGGGCUUAUUGCAUCAAAAUUAGUUUCCUCAUCUCGAUCAGGAUUCAAUUCUGAAUCUUCUCACAUAUACGUACAACCUAUGGAUACAACCUAGAGAUCGAUCUUCAUCCUCUCCGAUAUUGUUGUGAUUAAUUCUGAAAUCUUUUGACCUACACACAAUCUAUGGAUACCUCAUGGAGAUCGGUCAGAGCAUAUACUCUUCUCAUUGGGUAAGCUUAUAAAUUAAGUACAUCCUAGAGAUCGGCCUUCGCCCUCUCCGAUAUUGUUGUGAUUAAUUCUGAAAUCUUUCGACAUACGCACAAUCUAUGGAUACCUCAUGGAGAUCCUUCAGAGCAUAUACUCUUCUCAUCAGGGUUAACAUCAUCAAUGGCCUGCCCCAGUCUCCAGUAAGGCUGAUGCCUUUUCUUGAUUUUUUUUGUCGCCGUUCUGACGCAAUCUCCUGUUCAAGGAAGUUCCUUGCCAAGCUUGCAAGUCCUGACCGUUGUAGGUCAGAGAAUGUUUUUCUGGGCAAUUGGUUUGUAAAAGCAAUGGCAAGUGAUAACUACUAAAGCAUUGAGUGUCGUUGGUGUUGCAGCACGUAUGGGGAUUGAUUUUCCUUCAAUUGUGCAUGACAACUACUUGAGCAUUGAGUAUCGUUGCUGUUGCAGUAUUAAAUUUCAAUGCCUUUUUCUAACAAUUUUAGGUUAAUCAGACUGGCGUGUGAAAUCUCGGUGCUAUCAACUACGAGUCAGAAUGGCAUGGUAGGUUAAGACCAGUUAUAGUGUAUUGAUAUUAAGGUCAGCACAAAGGAAAUCAUAUAUGUUCUAUUCAUAUACAAUUUUUAUGACUACAUAUUCCCUGACAAGAUAGUUUCAGAUUGUUUAUAUGUACUGAAUUGAAGCCCACCUGAACAUUACUGUUGUUGUUGUGGUGUCUUCAGGUAAUCAUUCCAAAUUGAUGCCCACUUGAACAUUAAUGUUGUUGUUGUGGUGUCUUCAGGUUAUCAUUCCAAAUUGAUGCCCACCUGAACGUUAAUGAUGUUGUUUUGGUGUCUUCUGGUGAUUGAUAUAAAGCAGAAUGUACUUCCCAAGAUAAUCUACUAACUCGGUUACAGUGUCUAAGAUUGUGCGCCAUGCUGACAGCGGCCACCGAUGUUUGCUUCGUCUCCAACCGUGAAAUGAUGUAUGCGUACAUAUCCAGUGGAACGCUACCCAGUCUCCAUCCUCGGCUUCGACGAUAGAGUUUAACAGCCAGACAUGCCAUUCUCACAAAGUGCUCACACUUCCCAGCCAAUGCCGCUGACUGGCUGCCUCCUCAAUUCGGGAAAAACUGACUACUUGAGGAAAAGUUGUAAGGUAUUAGUGCUUACAUAACCCUUUGCUCUGCUGAUACUCCGCUAAGGAUUUUAGGAGCAUCAUUUUUGUGCACAUUUCCCCUUUCGGGGUUGAAAGGUAUUAGUAUGGCUCUACACAGAAAGCUGCAUAGCAUGCCUAAUUUUGUACUUAACUUGCAGUUCUACAGAUCUACUACAAUUAUAUGAUCUCCUCAUACCAAAACUGGGCAGAUAUCACACAUGAUUUUCGCCUCUGUUUUUAUGUUGUGAAUUUCUGUAAUUUGUAAUACUUUGCUACUUGGGAUAAAGAGCAUGGUGAUUGCAAAGAUUUUCCUUUUCGUUUUUCCAAGGUAUUGGUGAUCUUCCAGUCCAUUCCCGCAGAGCACGCCUUUGGUUAGAUCGUCCACUCAGAGUAUUUCGAAGUACUACAUUUUGGUUGGCAGGGGAUUCUUACGGGGACACAUGAUUCACUUUAUUUCUUUCUGUUUUCAGACACAUGAAACUGCCAGACUGGAAGAAAAAGAAUCCGUGUGUAUAUAUGUCCAUUCUCACUGCAGUGAAACCUUCCUCUACAAAAGGUGCUGCCGUAAUAAUAGUUUCUAUAUUCUAAUAACUUUUGGUUGGACACUUGAUCUCCGUUAGUUAGUUGUUACUUGGAGAUAUAUUCAUUUGAUGCACACAAAAUUAAUCUUUGUACACAGUUACAUGGGUCACUAUUUUUUAAAUACAAAUUAUGGUUGUUUACAUGCAAGUCUAAGCAAUCUUUUGAAAAUGCCUUUCUAUUUCAGAGAUCACUUGUUUUUUUUCACAAAAUAUGCACUGCCAUGAGACUGCUUACAGUAGAAAUUAAUGUUCUAUAAAACUCAUGGCUGCUCAUUUGAAUAUUGUUAUCCCCCCAAAACAAAUGCUCAAUGUUUAGUACUUAAUUAUCUAUGCGUACUUUAUAUGUAUGAAGUAAAGUGAAUGUGCAUUUGUUCAAAUAUUGUACGACCCCCAAAAACAAAAAGGGGGCACACACAACUUUUUGAGAUUUAACUUUGACCAUCAAAUAGAGUAAAUAAUAUUAUGAGAUGACAGUUGGCACGAUCAACCACUUUAUUAGAACCUUCCCCGGUUGCACUCAUAUGCUAAAGAUUAUAGCAUCCGUCAUGUUAUAGCUAGAUCACAUGAUGAUACUGAUACUUUUGAAUUAUUUCACAACCCUAUGUCACCCAUUGCUGUACAACGGAUAUAGGAGUUUUUUUUUGAGAGAAAAGCUAUAGAAGUUGAUACAGAGUGUGAACAUUGUGAACGAUGCUAUACAAUAUGACAGCUGGUCAUUUCCACGGGUAACGGAAAAUAUUGUACUGUAUCAGAAGGGUAAUACCAAACCGUUAUUAGUGCUCCUCAACCUGCCCCAGCACCAUACAAAUGAAUACGAAAGUUGUGUUCUAUGUGAGGAAGGCACAAAUGAUACUAUUAUGCACAUCUUUUUAUCAUGUGAAUUCACUCAGAAUUUUUGGUGGAAUCGGGGUAUUGAAUGGGGUACUGAUCUGGGACAGUUUGCUCAAUGAGUCAAAAAAGAGGAACAACAUCAUAUCUUUCAAAGAAAUCCUGAUCACUGGAUGGUGGUCUAAACCCAGCCUAAAGGAGGAGAUGCACUUUUGCUUAGAUCAUUUGUAUUUUAUGUUCUUCUUCUAUACAUAUAAACAUGUAAAUGGAAAUGAGUCAUAGUUGGUGUUUUCCCUACUAUAUUUUACUCGAAUAAAUAGACUAAAUAAUCCAAAGUCAUGUA